rnacentral:rRNA from 1 species
GACGAACCGUGCGAACGUUAUUCGGAAUCACUGGGCUUAAAGCGCGUGUAGGCGGGACGGCACGUCGGCCGCUGAAAUCCCCCGGCUCAACCGGGGAAGGGGCGCCGAUACGACCGCCCUGGAGGGACGUAGGGGGGGCUGGAACUUCCGGUGGAGCGGUGAAAUGCGUAGAGAUCGGAAAGAACACCAACGGCGAAAGCACUCUGCUGGGCCGACACUGACACUGAGAGACGAAAGCUAGGGGAGCGAAUGGG